AGUGAUUAAGAAAUAUAUUGCUUACUGUUUGGAAGAUAAUUGACUUUCUCAGGUGGCUAGAGGACUUUGUCUGCUUUGGGGCUUUGCUGAAAAAGUAGAACAACAUUAACACUGUUCAAUUUCAGACAGAAAUGUUUGGAAACUUUCAGAGCUGAAUGGGCCUUUGAGAGUAUAUAGUUAAGAGGCAUGAUUUUAAAAACAAGAAAACGAAAGCCUAGAAGUGAAAGAAACGUAUCCAAAUUUAUGCUGUAAGUUAGGUUGAUCUGAUUCUUCUGAGUUUCAGUCCCUCAGGCAUUCUAUCACAUUAAUAUAUCGUUUUCCACCAUUUCUUAUCAGUUAAUUAUUUAGGACAUAUAAUGUGGCAAGCACUGAGGUAGAUCCUGGAGAUAUAAAGAUAUACAUAUGAAAGUUUCUAUAUCCAAGGAGGUAAAUAAUGUAAUGAGAGAAAAGCAACAACUACAAACCCAGUAGUACGUUAAAAAAGUUGCUGUAUUCAGGGUACUAUCAGUGCACACAGUAGAGUGUGACUAGCUUGGUUGGGUAGGUAAGAGGAACUAAUAAAGACUCAGAAGGGGAAGUGAGAGGUGAGUCUUAAAGGCUAAUUAGGGUGAAGGAUAUUUCAAGCAGAGAGGAGAGCAUGUACAUGGAGCAUUUUAAGGAGAGCAAGUAGUUUAGUGCACACUAGAGUAAAAAGGAGAAGCUAAUUAGAUGGACCGUAGUCUGAUAAUGAAAGGCUAUGCAUAUUGUGUCAUGAAUUUGGACUCUAUCAGUAGAUUAUUGAAAGAUUCUGAAAAUUUUAAGUUGGGGGUUAUGUGAUACUAUAUAUUUUCAAUUUAGAAUCACAUGGAUAUCACUGUGGAGAUUGUAUUGGAGGAUAAAAGACCAGAGGCAAGGAGAACACGUUGGAGGCAAUUGCAGCAAGGCGGCAAGAAACGAUGAUGGCAUGAAAUAAGAGUGACAGUGAAGAUGGCGAGAAGAAAAAUGAAGGGCAUCAACUUGAUAGUUCAACAGGUUCCUCAAUGGUACCUCAGAUGUUGGAGAGACCAAGAGGGAGGAGAACACUUUUUCAGUUGUUAUAAGGUGUUGGUGCCAGCAGAGAGGUGGAAAAUGAACUCUUCCUGGGGAAAACUGUCAAGGUCUUCUUAAGGAGGUAAGCUUUCAGGCAGGUUUUAAAGAAAGAAGCAGAGAAAAGACAGUGUCAUUCUGAGAAGAAUAAACAUUAUGUAAAAACUCAGAGGAAGAAAAGAUGUGAAAUUCAUUGAAGAAUAAGUAUAUAGUGUAUGGUUGUGGAGUUGAGAUUGUGGUUAGAGAUGAGAUUAAUAAAAAGAAGGGGCCUGGCAUGAUGGCUCAUUCCUGUAAUCCCAGGACUUUGGGAGACCUAAGAGGGAGGAUUGCUUAAGCCCAGGAGUACAAGAUCAGCCUGGGCAACACAGGGAGACUCCAUCUCUACAAAAAUAUACAAAAAUUUGCCAGGUGUGGUGGUGGCACACACCUACAAUUCUAGCUACUCGAGAGGCUGAGGCUGGAGGAUUGAUUGAGAGCAGGAGGUAGAGACUGCAGUGAGCUGUGAUUGUGCCACUACACUCCACUGGAUAACAGAGUAAGACACUGUCUCAAAAAAAAAAAAAAAAAAAAAAAAAAGAGGUUGUCUAGAAAGGGUCACAGAUGAACAUCUGAUACACUGAAUUUUUCUGGUAGUUAAAUUCUAGAGUAUUCACUGGUACUAUUGUACAUUAGCUUCUUAAGGACUCUUCUCUCAUUUACUUCUAAUCUUUUUUCUAAUCUGUCAGUGCAAAUAUGACUUUUUUUUUUUUUCUGAAGUCAAGCUUGCUGUAAUGAUGCGGAUGGAAUAGUAAAAUCUUACCAUGGCUCACCACAUCCUGCCUGGUCUCACCUCCAUUUGAUGUGCCAACCUUGGGUAUUCCAGGCUGCUCUCUAUUUCAUUUUUUUGUUUGUUUGUUUUUAUUUUUUGUUUUGAGAUGGAGUUUCACUCUUGUCACCCAGGCUGAAGUGCAGUGGUGCAAUCUCGGCUCACUGCAACGUCUGCCUCCUGGGUUUAAGCGAUUCUCCUGCCUCAGCUUCCCGAGUAGCUGGAACUACAGGCGUGCGCCACAACGCCCGGCUAAUUUUUUGUAUUUUUAGUAGAGACAGGGUUUCGCCAUGUUAGCCAGGCUGGUCUUGAACUCCUGACCUCAGGUGAUCUACCCGCCUUCGCCUCCCAAAGUGCUGAGAUUACAGGCAUGAGCCACUGUGCCCAGCAGCUGCUCUCAAUUUCUGUACUCCGGCCACAUGCUGGCCUUCUUUUAUCUCCCUUAGUGUGCCAUUCCGCAGGGCCUCUGUUGUUUCUUGUGCCUGGAACUCACUGUAUUUGGCUGCUUCCUACUCCCUGAGCUCUCUAAUACCUUUUGCAUCUAAAUUUGCAGCUGCCCUCUUUCUGUCUCUUAAUGGUACUGUCACUUCCUCAGGGCAACACUUCCAUAAAAUCUCACGAGCCUAUGACUCACAGUCUCACUGCAUCAUGUAUCUGUUUCACUGUUUUAAUUGUACGUUAUUUGUUUGAUUACUGUAAGAUCAUUUAGGGAAAUUACCGUGUAUUUUCCUGCUCACCAUUGUCUUUUUAGUGCCCAGCACACGGGUUCUAACACCCUCCCAUAUAGUAUGUGUUUAAUAAAUAUCUGUUGAAUGAAUUAAUAAGGAGUUCAGUUACAUAUGAAGAGAAUGUGGGUAAUGAUUUUUAUUUAAAACAAAAAUUUGAAAUGAUAAAUAUGGUUAAUCAGGUAUGUCCCCCCAAAAUCCAAUCCCCACUUUCAGUAUCCACAUUUCAAAAAUGUAUAUUCUCCUUAUGCUGAAGGAAAUAUAUUAAACUGUUUCUGAAGUAAUUUUUACAAAUCAGAAUUGAAUGCAUUCCAAAAUAUGUAAUGGAGACAAUCUACUGUGAUAAUAAAAAUAAAUAGACUUUGAGUAAUAC
rnacentral:lncRNA from 1 species